rnacentral:rRNA from 1 species
GGACUACACGGGUUUCUAAUCCUGUUUGAUCCCCGCACUUUCGUGCCUCAGCGUCAGUUGUUGCCUGGCAGGCUGCCUUCGCUAUCGGUGUUCUUGACGAUAUCUAAGCAUUUCACCGCUACACCGUCAAUUCCGCCUGCCUCGUCAACACUCAAGCCCCGCAGUAUCAACGGCACCUCGACAGUUGAGCUGCCGUAUUUCACCGCUGACUUACAGGGCCGCCUACGCACCCUUUAAACCCAAUAAAUCCGGACAACGCUUGCCACCUACGUAUUACCGCGGCUGCUGGCAC